AUGGGCAUCGUUCUGUACUUCUGACACUGGCAGGCAGGUCCAGCAUUACAGAUGCACUUUAUGACUGAAUGCAAGAUGAGUGGAUUCACUUAAUUCAGCUUCCUGCUAACAAUCGAACUGAUGGUGGGAGAUUUUGCAGCUUACAACAAGCCUGAUUAGCAGUAAGCAGAUUACAAGUGCAGCAGGGGAAGUUAACCCAGCCUUCCAGAAACGCAGCGUUUGCUUCAUGGCUCAAACUGCGGCAGAUCGAACUUUUCCAGGGGAUAACGGCCGUCUGGUGUGAACGCAGAGCAGGAGCACAGCGAUUAAAAACGGCUCCUCCUGGGGAAGAGACCCGCUUCAGUUCCAAUGUGCUUGCUGUCUUUGGAGUUGUGGAGAACCUAAAAUACUUCAUUAAGCUCCUUAUGACACCCUGCUGGCAGCUUCAGCUGCUCCUCUUCCUCCUCCAUCUUGGAGCAUUCACUCAGACAAAGGCUACACCGACUGGACCUCUGACAGCUGGACCCUUGUGGACCAGACGCACCGGCCGGGUGCUGAUCGGUUAAUCUCACAGCAGAUCUGUGGGAUGAAGUCAUAUUCGCUGUGCUGAAGAGUCGAGUGUUUCCGUCCAAAUCCAAGAGAAAGCAAGUUGCUCUCUAUCCUGGAACGAUUUACUGUUUGAAUUGUAUGUAGGUGAAACAUAAUCAUCUGUAUUUUACUGCUGCCUUCACCUUCACAAAGCACUGCUGACCUACUUUUUAGAAAUAUUGUUUGUGAUGUACGAAACGUUUUCAGCCUUAAAGUGUUUUGAGCUGAAAGCCUUAUUCUGUUGGAAUGAGAAAUUU